CAAAGGGUUAACUGUUUGUCUCCUUGUGUCAGUUCCUCAGUUGGUAUGGAUUAGUGUAGCUGACUUCAGCAGAACCAGCUCUAUUUUCAGCAGCUCAGAAUAUAGUCUCUUGGGCUGUUUUAGUAUUAAACAAACUUGUUCAAUUAGCAACAAUUACUUCUGACAGUGAAAGGAUAACAGAGGAUUCUGCUCGCAGGAGUGCUUCAUGCCAGUUUGUGUUUGCUUACUUCACCACUGAGAGCAGUAAAUCAGUGCAAGUAAGUCAUAGUGAAUCAUGCUUAUUAGCAAUUAAUACCUGAUAAGAUUUCAAAAGUGUUAGUAAACUGAAACAACUGGCAAGGAUUUAUACAUUUUUAUAAAUUACAUU
rnacentral:lncRNA from 1 species